GUUUUGAAAAGUGAAGUUAAUUGACACUUCAUGCAUAUAAUAGUGAGGCUAAGAAAUGCAGAUAACUGCAUGGUGUGAAAGGCUAUGAAACUCUAUUUUUGUGAAGCGCAUCGGAGAGGCAAAGAAAAGAAGCAGUGCUGCAGUCUCUGCGACACCCAAGUAAAUAAGCUCAUCUCAUACAUCUCAGGGACUGAUUGGGGCCUGGAUUCUACCUGCUAGUCUGCUUCACAAUGGCUCUUCACGUCCAUCAAAGCCUGCUCCAGCACCUGGGGUUUCUGUUCUCCCUUCCAGCCCUGAUCCUUCCUUUUGUGCAAAGGUAAGGACUUGAUUUUGCUGCCAGAGAACUGCAAGAGUAGUGAAGCACAAAACUGCUAUAUGAAAAUAAUUAAUUUUUUUGCAUUGAGGGCACAGGAAAAAACAGUCACUAGAAGAAGCUGCAUUUUGGACAACACUCACUCUAUUUUUCUACUUUCCUCAAUCACCAGACCUAUUAGAGACUUAAAUUUACAAGCUUGUGUCCAGCAAGAAAGACGCGUUAACAAAAAAGUACAAGCUAAAUAUUGGCAUUGGGUCGUAUACUCUUUAAACUGUGCUCUCCACACUACUUUUUUUUUUUCCCCCCGCAACCUUUCUGUGGUAUAGACUGUUGCCAUAAUAAUGGUAAUGAAAGCUGCUGCUGUUUUCUGGUAUACCCUUGUGAUGAUGGAAAAUUUCCCCCAAGAAAGGAACUGCUAGUUCUCUUCUCCAUGCCAGAUACCUUCAUCAAGGAUCACAUACAGCAAUUACAUGCUACUCCACCUGUCAGUGGUGUAUACCACUGAAAUGUAUUUUAGGUAAUGCCCACAGUAAUAAGACCAACAGGAGAAAAACCUUCUUGGCAGGUGAGAAGCACAUCCUCUCCAUUCAAAAAGUGUCGGCAUUUCACCAUGGAGAUCAUGGGGGAAGAGAGGCAGUGGAGUCACACUUGAAUUAUCUGCUGAUGAUUAUUAUGUUUACCAUCUAUUUGCCACAUAAGGUGGGACAGAUCUGGCUAUAAAAUAAAUCCACCUUGGAAGUAUACUUUCACAAUGCACACAUAGCGUUGAACAAACACUUGUUUUGAGAGUGCCACGCACCCCCCGCGUCGCACACAGCGGCGAUGCUACAGAUAUCAACAUUCAGCUCCCUGCCUGGUGGCUUUUCGCUGAGGCCUGGUCCUGAGCACGCAGAGGCUGCAUCAUCACCCACGCUGCCGUGAGCCUCAGGCUGAGCUUCGCUGCCCCAGCGGCAGUGCGUUCUACCGAAGGCCGUCAGGAGGCUCGGUGCCGCACCAUCGGGGCCGGGCUGCGUCUGUGUCGCCCCCGGAGCACAGAACCUGCCCGGGCCGCCCGGCCCCGCCCGCAGCCCCUCCCGCCCGGCGGCGCAGGGGGCCGGGCUCUCCCGCCGCCCCGCGGGGAGGCCUGCCCGGGAGGGCGGGGGGGGGGGGGGGGGGGGGGGGGG
rnacentral:lncRNA from 1 species